rnacentral:lncRNA from 1 species
AGCAUCUCCACUAUUUUUUUAAAGUUUUCUGACUUAAGCAUCAAAAACUAUCUCAUUAGAUACUCUCCAAUAAAAAGACUUUCUUAUUUAUGAUAUUUUAAGACCAAAUUUAGCAUCAGCAUGAAGGCCGAGCUUGGCCUCCUUCCCUUGGCCAUCUUUCGGAUGCAAUCAACUUUAUAGUGAUCAUCUUUUUAUCUCGAUGACCACCAUUCACCAGCUUGAGAGGCAUACCGAGAUCUCCAACAAACUUCUUUGAUCCACUUGGCACCCCGUCGAGCCCUUCAAGAUAUCAACCAGCUUGAUAUCCUAGUCAGAU